CAUAUACUCCCUCCGUCUGAAAAAACUUGUCCCUCAAAUAGAUGUAUCUAGCAUCAAGUUAGUGCUAGAUACAUCCAGUUGAGAGAUAAGCUUAGGACAAGCUUUUUCGGACGGGGGAGUACUUG
rfam:Triticum aestivum genome assembly, contig: Triticum_aestivum_CS42_TGACv1_scaffold_222483_3B